AUCGAUUUUCUGGCAGCUGUUUUCGAUGUAAAUAAUCUGAACUAGGUAAAAUAAACAGAUACCUUGAAAAAGCUGUGCGAUAAACCUCAAUCCCACCCACGGCAGGAAAUGCAGCCGCAAGGGUAAAGAAAUUCGAAAACAUUCCAACAAAGUAAUCGGACAUCUCUGGCGAGUGCAAUUCCCACUGUCGGAACCGCUGCAACGGCAACCUUCAACAGCAGCAGCAGUACCUAACAAUUUAACUACAGACACAUGAAUCAUCGCUUCUUUCUGAGAGACAUGAUCCACCAAACAUAGAUAUAAGUAUUGAUUUCUAAAGAUAUAAGGAGCCAUCACACCUUAACGAAUAGUAUUAAGAAUUGAUAUUUACUCAUACAGAGAAGAACUUUAUUUAUUAUUGGUAUUGUUAGCCGUAGGUUUAAAUGAUAUGUAUUUUUGAAUUGUAUUUAAAAAAGAGAAAAGAUGAGAGGGUUUUUAUGCCUGUUUGAGGAGGAGCAGUCGGGAUACAGGCUCUACUCAAGCUGGCUUUUCCCUACUCCAAUAGAUAUUCGGCCCCGUUAUGCUUUGCGGUUGGGCCUAAAUAAAUAUUAGAGUUAAAAAAAAAAAAUCGAUAUGAAAAAUAUCGCCAAGGGGUACGCAAACAAAAAAAGGU